AUUGAACGCUGGCGGCAUGCCUUACACAUGCAAGUCGAACGGCAGCACGGAGCUUGCUCUGGUGGCGAGUGGCGAACGGGUGAGUAAUAUAUCGGAACGUACCCUAGAGUGGGGGAUAACGUAGCGAAAGUUACGCUAAUACCGCAUACGAUCUAAGGAUGAAAGUGGGGGAUCGCAAGACCUCAUGCUCGUGGAGCGGCCGAUAUCUGAUUAGCUAGUUGGUAGGGUAAAAGCCUACCAAGGCAUCGAUCAGUAGCUGGUCUGAGAGGACGACCAGCCACACUGGAACUGAGACACGGUCCAGACUCCUACGGGAGGCAGCAGUGGGGAAUUUUGGACAAUGGGCGAAAGCCUGAUCCAGCAAUGCCGCGUGAGUGAAGAAGGCCUUCGGGUUGUAAAGCUCUUUUGUCAGGGAAGAAACGGUGAGAGCUAAUAUCUUUUGCUAAUGACGGUACCUGAAGAAUAAGCACCGGCUAACUACGUGCCAGCAGCCGCGGUAAUACGUAGGGUGCAAGCGUUAAUCGGAAUUACUGGGCGUAAAGCGUGCGCAGGCGGUUUUGUAAGUCUGAUGUGAAAUCUCCGGGCUCAACCUGGGAAUUGCAUUGGAGACUGCAAGGCUAGAAUCUGGCAGAGGGGGGUAGAAUUCCACGUGUAGCAGUGAAAUGCGUAGAUAUGUGGAGGAACACCGAUGGCGAAGGCAGCCCCCUGGGUCAAGAUUGACGCUCAUGCACGAAAGCGUGGGGAGCAAACAGGAUUAGAUACCCUGGUAGUCCACGCCCUAAACGAUGUCUACUAGUUGUCGGGUCUUAAUUGACUUGGUAACGCAGCUAACGCGUGAAGUAGACCGCCUGGGGAGUACGGUCGCAAGAUUAAAACUCAAAGGAAUUGACGGGGACCCGCACAAGCGGUGGAUGAUGUGGAUUAAUUCGAUGCAACGCGAAAAACCUUACCUACCCUUGACAUGGCUGGAAUCCUUGAGAGAUCAGGGAGUGCUCGAAAGAGAACCAGUACACAGGUGCUGCAUGGCUGUCGUCAGCUCGUGUCGUGAGAUGUUGGGUUAAGUCCCGCAACGAGCGCAACCCUUGUCAUUAGUUGCUACGAAAGGGCACUCUAAUGAGACUGCCGGUGACAAACCGGAGGAAGGUGGGGAUGACGUCAAGUCCUCAUGGCCCUUAUGGGUAGGGCUUCACACGUCAUACAAUGGUACAUACAGAGCGCCGCCAACCCGCGAGGGGGAGCUAAUCGCAGAAAGUGUAUCGUAGUCCGGAUUGUAGUCUGCAACUCGACUGCAUGAAGUUGGAAUCGCUAGUAAUCGCGGAUCAGCAUGUCGCGGUGAAUACGUUCCCGGGUCU
rnacentral:rRNA from 1 species